rnacentral:rRNA from 1 species
GGCAGGGUGUGUAAGCGUUGUGAGGCGUUGAGCUAACCUGUACUAAUUGCCCGUGAGGCUUAACCAUACAACACCCAAGGGGUUUUGUA